GGCUGAAUAGCUCAGUGGUAAGAGCAGUCGUCCAGCAAGCGAAAGACUCGCGUUCGAGUCCCAAUUCAGCGA
rnacentral:tRNA from 1 species